AUUGAACGCUGGCGGCAGGCUUAACACAUGCAAGUCGAGCGGGGUGAUGGUGCUUGCACUAUCACUUAGCGGCGGACGGGUGAGUAAUGCUUAGGAAUCUGCCUAUUAGUGGGGGACAACAUCUCGAAAGGGAUGCUAAUACCGCAUACGUCCUACGGGAGAAAGCAGGGGAUCACUUGUGACCUUGCGCUAAUAGAUGAGCCUAAGUCGGAUUAGCUAGUUGGUGGGGUAAAGGCCUACCAAGGCGACGAUCUGUAGCGGGUCUGAGAGGAUGAUCCGCGAAACUGGGACGCGGACACGGCCCAGACUCCUACGGGAGGCAGCAGUGGGGAAUAUUGGACAAUGGGGGGAGCCCUGAUCCAGCCAUGCCGCGUGUGUGAAGAAGGCCUUAUGGUUGUAAAGCACUUUAAGCGAGGAGGAGGCUCUUUUGGUUAAUACCCAAGAUGAGUGGACGUUACUCGCAGAAUAAGCACCGGCUAACUCUGUGCCAGCCGCCGCGGUAA
rnacentral:rRNA from 1 species